ensembl:snRNA U4 U4 spliceosomal RNA
AUCUGUGUACAGUGGCAAUAUUACAGCUCAUGAAGUUUAUCUGAGGCACAAUUACUGUUGAUUGAAAUUUUUAGAACAAUGAUUUUUCCCAUAAAAUGUUAAUUAUUUCUAUUAUAUAAUUAUA